rnacentral:tRNA from 1 species
AUCCCGGUAGCUUAACAAAAAGCAUUAGACUUGUAAACUAAAGACGGAAAUUUUCCCCGAGAUC